rnacentral:misc_RNA from 1 species
AACUUAAAAAGCCGACCGAUGGCGGGAUAACCAUCCAACUACUAGCUUUGAAAUACACAGGCCGAAGACGGGCAGCAGCGUCUUCGUUGCGACAAAGCAGUGUUAAUUUCAAUAAAAAAAUUAAGUUUGUUCAAUGUGUCAUGAUAAACAAAUACUAUAAGGAUUAGCAUAACGAAUCGUUAUUAAUAUAGCAACAAAAUGAGGGUAAGUAAAUAUAGUUUAGCUAUCGAGCUAGUCGCG